UUCCAGCCUGGGUGACAGAGUGAGACACCCUGCCUCAUAAAACAAAAAAAAAAGAGGGAAUGGGGGGUGGGAUACAUAUUGGAUAUGUAUAUAUAGGACAGUUGUAGAAAAAUACUGAUUUUUUAGUGAUUUAACUUUUGACAGUCCUGUCCAUGGCAAAUUUUUCUACUUGAACACCUUGGCUAAUAAUACAAGUUUAAGAAAGCAUAUUAAACUUUUUUUUGAAUUCUUGAGAAAAUUAUAUACAUGUGACUAUUUUCCUUUAGAAUGACUACAAACUCUGAACCCUCUUAUUAGAUUAGAUUUAGGCUAUUAUGAUCUCUUUGGGACAUUUAUUCUAAAGGAGCUGGAAACUAUAGUGGCCUCUAUUUUUCCCAGGGAUAUAGAGAAGCUUAAGAUCUCCUCUUUCUGGAACUUACCCUGGGUGCUCAAUUUUAACUUUCUGAUUGGUUCAUUUUUGAGUUAGUAAAAAUAAUAAUAAUAAUAUUUUUGUUUGAAUUGCAAACAAAUUGUCUUUGCACAGUGAUCUUCAGAUCUUAAAAGAAAAACAAGGGAUAGGAGACAUUUUGCUUAUCUUUUAAGGUAUAUAUUGGGUGAAGGAGCAUUAUGUAUGGAACCUCUCACAAAACAGGGCUGAAGCAGUGCCUACUCCAUAGAAUCAGUCAUCAUGCAAAUAAAUGCCACCUGAGUCAAAGGCAAAGCCAAAGUGCAGCUUGGAGCAAAGAAGGGUCAUCUUUGUAUGAGAGCUGA
rnacentral:lncRNA from 1 species